AGUGAACGCUGGCGGUAGGCCUAACACAUGCAAGUCGAACGGCAGCACAGUAAGAGCUUGCUCUUACGGGUGGCGAGUGGCGGACGGGUGAGGAAUACAUCGGAAUCUACUUUUUCGUGGGGGAUAACGUAGGGAAACUUACGCUAAUACCGCAUACGACCUACGGGUGAAAGCAGGGGAUCUUCGGACCUUGCGGGAUGGAAUGAGCCGAUGUCGGAUUAGCUAGUUGGCGGGGUAAAGGCCCACAAAGGCGACGAUCCGUAGCUGGUCUGAGAGGAUGAUCAGCCACACUGGAACUGAGACACGGUCCAGACUCCUACGGGAGGCAGCAGUGGGGAAUAUUGGACAAUGGGCGCAAGCCUGAUCCAGCCAUACCGCGUGGGUGAAGAAGGCCUUCGGGUUGUAAAGCCCUUUUGUUGGGAAAGAAAAGCAGCAGGUUAAUACCCCGCUGUUCUGACGGUACCCAAAGAAUAAGCACCGGCUAACUUCGUG
rnacentral:rRNA from 1 species